rnacentral:rRNA from 1 species
AGUAGAGCGGCGGACGGGUGAGUAACGCGUAGGAAUCUGCCCGAUAGUGGGGGACAACAGUCGGAAACGACUGCUAAUACCGCAUACGCCCUAAGGGGGAAAGCAGGGGAUCUUCGGACCUUGCGCUAUCGGAUGAGCCUGCGUCGGAUUAGCUUGUUGGUGGGGUAAUGGCCUACCAAGGCGACGAUCCGUAGCUGGUCUGAGAGGAUGAUCAGCCACACUGGGACUGAGACACGGCCCAGACUCCUACGGGAGGCAGCAGUGGGGAAUAUUGGACAAUGGGGGAAACCCUGAUCCAGCCAUGCCGCGUGUGUGAAGAAGGCCUUCGGGUUGUAAAGCACUUUCAGUAGGGAGGAAAAGUUGAUGGCUAAUACCCAUCAGCCCUGACGUUACCUACAGAAGAAGCACCGGCAAACUCCGUGCCAGCAGCCGCGGUAAUACGGAGGGUGCGAGCGUUAAUCGGAAUUACUGGGCGUAAAGCGCGCGUAGGCGGU